UUCAUUAAACGAUUAUUUAUUUGAUACGAAAGUAUUAUUUUAAAUAAAAACAGUGACGUCUUUUCAACAAAUAUUGAAAUGAAGUAAGUAUAAAAAGCACAAAGUUUUUUUUCACACCUCACGAAAGCCUCUAACCAAGUUACCCAAAAUGUCAGUCUUGUCACUCUUAUUUCUUGCAGUAAUUUCAUUUAAUGAGGUCUACUACCUCCAAUGCUAUAUGUGUCGUUUCGACGAUAAUUGCGAAUCUCCGAAGGAAAUUACUUGUCCUGAAGAUAGAACCUACUGUCUAGCUAUUAGAACUUAUCCAGACAAAAAUACUUUUUAUGUGACUUCAAGGGGCUGUGCAACUCCAUAUACUGCCGAAGGCAUUUGUAAGGAUAUAAAAGAAAUGAGUGAAGGAAACUGUUAUAAUUGCCAAGAGGAUUUAUGUAAUGAAAAACUUCCUGAAUUGGAGUGAUGUGGACAAAAUUGUAAAUACAUAUAAAUACAAUAAAUAAAAUAAAAUAUGCAUCUAAAACAGAAAUCAUGUUUUUUUUAAAGUGCGUGAGAUCACAGAAAUAAAAGGGAUACUAAUAAACUGCCACGUAAAUAAUAGUCAAUCUCUAAGUAAUAUAUUGUAAAUAGUAUUUAAAGAUGCUUGGUAUUAAAAUAAAAUUUACUAAGAAAAAAUAAUAAUACUACUUAGAAAACGCUAUACCUACCUAGGUAUUUAACAUCCACCUUCUACACAAAAUAUUGAUAUAAUAGACAUGAAUUAACAACAAUUUUUGAACUAAAAAUAUAUCUCUAAACUAAAGAUGUUUCUUCAAAAAUGACGAGCCAAAAAAACUGAAAUUUCUACAUAAAGGAAAAUUGAAGCUUACAAACUUAUUUACUUUAUUACUGCGUACUUCGUAAUUAUAGGGGGUGUAAAGUAAACAGAGCAAAAUUUCUCGUACAUUCUAAGAAUGGAAAAAGGAAUAUAAAAAAUAUAAAAUAAAUAUUGAAUCAAAGUACGAGUGGCGUCAACAGAUGUUUUUAUAACACAGACUCUAAAUUUUUACUAUUUGUAUUCAAAUAUGCCUGUAUACGAUUGGACUUUUUAUUUCCACCAAAAAUUCCCUUAUCUCUAUAUUAAAUUGCUCUGUUUCUUGCAAUGAAAAUUAUGAAGGUACUAGUCAUUUACCAAAUGUUUUUGUAAUUAAGCACAGAAGGAAACAACCACAAACUGAGUUUUUAACAUGAGAAAACGAGAAAAUCUUGUUCAAGCCUUUGAUACUUACCGGAUUUUUAGUACACUGCUUGUACCGAUAGUUGUAUUUUAAAUUUUAGGACAUGUGGCUAUAACUGGCUAUUUUUUAUAAUUUCCAAAACGUGUGUAACAGGCGUCAGAAAUAUAACACGUGGAGCAAUUAUCAUACUGUGCUGCUAUUGCUAUACAUUAACAAUUAUUAACAUGAUACGAAAGUGUAUUUUAAUAAAAAUAAACGUCUAUGACGUCUUUUCAAUAAACUCUGAUAUGAAAUAAAUGUAAAAGACAAAAAGGUUCUUAAGACAGUGUCUAAGCAAGUUACUAAGAUGUCAUCAGUCUUGUCACUCUUAUUCCUUGCGGUAAUUUCUUUCAAUGGGGUUUACUCCCUCAAGUGCUAUUAUUGUGGUUCAGAGAAUUGCGAAUCUCCGUCUGAAGAUAAUUGUGAUGAAGAGGAAACCUACUGUGUAGCUGUUAAAAUUGAUCCUGAGAAAAAAGACACGGAUUAUGUGACUGCAAUGGGAUGUGCAACUGAAAAUAUUGCGAAGAGUACUUGUCGAGAUGUUAAACAAAGGGGCGAAGGAAACUGUUAUGAUUGCCAAGAGGAUUUAUGUAAUGAAAAACUUCCUGAAUUGAAAUGAAGUAUACAUAAAUAAAAAUAAAUAAAAUAUGUAUAUAAAGCAGAAA